AGGAAGAAUGUCGGAGUGGUUUAACGAGGGGCUUUGCUAAAGCUCUGGUGGUCUAAGGACUGCCCUAGGGUUCAAAUCCCUAUUCUUCCUCCA
rnacentral:tRNA from 1 species